ACGGAAGGCAGCAGUGGGGAAUAUUGCGCAAUGGGGGAAACCCUGAUGCAGCGAUGCCGCGUGGAGGAAGAAGGUUUUCGGAUUGUAAACUCCUGUCUUAAAGGACGAUAAUGACGGUACUUUAGGAGGAAGCUCCGGCUAACUACGUGCCAGCAGCCGCGGUAAUACGUAGGGAGCGAGCGUUGUCCGGAAUUACUGGGUGUAAAGGGAGCGUAGGCGGGACGGCAAGUCAGAUGUGAAAUACAUGGGCUCAACCCAUGGGCUGCAUUUGAAACUGCUGUUCUUGAGUGAAGUAGAGGUAAGCGGAAUUCCUGGUGUAGCGGUGAAAUGCGUAGAUAUCAGGAGGAACACCGGUGGCGAAGGCGGCUUGCUGGGGACUUAUCGACGCUCAUGCUCGAAAGUGCGGGUAGCAAACAGGAUUAGAUACCCUGGUA
rnacentral:rRNA from 1 species